AAGGAUCAUUACCGAGUGAGGGCCCUCUGGGUCCAACCUCCCACCCGUGUUUAUUUUACCUUGUUGCUUCGGCGGGCCCGCCUUAACUGGCCGCCGGGGGGCUUACGCCCCCGGGCCCGCGCCCGCCGAAGACACCCUCGAACUCUGUCUGAAGAUUGUAGUCUGAGUGAAAAUAUAAAUUAUUUAAAACUUUCAACAACGGAUCUCUUGGUUCCGGCAUCGAUGAAGAACGCAGCGAAAUGCGAUACGUAAUGUGAAUUGCAAAUUCAGUGAAUCAUCGAGUCUUUGAACGCACAUUGCGCCCCCUGGUAUUCCGGGGGGCAUGCCUGUCCGAGCGUCAUUUCUGCCCUCAAGCACGGCUUGUGUGUUGGGCCCCGUCCUCCGAUCCCGGGGGACGGGCCCGAAAGGCAGCGGCGGCACCGCGUCCGGUCCUCGAGCGUAUGGGGCUUUGUCACCCGCUCUGUAGGCCCGGCCGGCGCUUGCCGAUCAACCCAAAUUUUUAUCCAGGUUGACCUCGGAUCAGGUAGGGAUACCCGCUGAACUUAAGCAUAUCAAUAAGCGGAGGAAAAGAAACCAACAGGGAUUGCCCCAGUAACGGCGAGUGAAGCGGCAAGAGCUCAAAUUUGAAAGCUGGCUCCUUCGGGGUCCGCAUUGUAAUUUGUAGAGGAUGCUUCGGGAGCGGUCCCUAUCUAAGUGCCCUGGAACGGGACGUCAUAGAGGGUGAGAAUCC
rnacentral:rRNA from 1 species